rnacentral:misc_RNA from 1 species
UAUAGAAGAAAACGAUUUAAAGAACAAAAAGGGAGAAUGGACUGCAAAAACUCUGAAUGUACUGUUAUGUAACUCCUUCAGCCAUCUAAUGGAGGUUUGCACCUGAUACCAAAACAUAGUAGUACAUGGUCAAUUAAAGGAAACCUGCCGACGGUGUGAAGGCUUGAAGACUAUUGGCACAAGAAGUUACUUAUUUUGUGUGGGAUUGGAAGUGCUUGGAG